rnacentral:rRNA from 1 species
GACGUAGGGCGCGAGCGUUGUCCGGAUUUAUUGGGCGUAAAGAGCUCGUAGGCGGUGUGUCGCGUCGGCCGUGAAAACCUGCAGCUCAACUGUGGGCGUGCGGUCGAUACGGGCAUCACUGGAGUUCGGCAGGGGAGACUGGAAUUCCUGGUGUAGCGGUGAAAUGCGCAGAUAUCAGGAGGAACACCGGUGGCGAAGGCGGGUCUCUGGGCAACAACUGACGCUGAGGAGCGAAAGCGUGGGGAGCGAACAGG